AGCCAUUUGAUCUCCUGGAACUAGAAUUACAGAUGGUUGUACGUCACCAUGGACACAGGUGCUGGGACCCAAGCAUGGGUUCUCUGCAAGAACGACAACUGUUUUACAAAGCUGAACCAUCUCUCCAGCCCCUAAAUGAGGAUACCGCCGUGGACACGGUUUUCCCCACGUGAAGCUUCUCUCACCAUCUGGACAGUAAACUACCAGCAACACCAGUAUCCAGGAGAACCUGCGCUUCACAGAGUGGUGGGUGACAAUAUUUCCGUCUCCUCUAAAACAUGAGAUUCAACUGAUGGAAUGAUGGCCUCCGGAACAAUAGGACUGACCUUGGAGAUGACACCCAAAGCGACUGUAAGACCACUGUUAUGCUACUUCCCCAAGCUCCAUCACAGGGCUGUGUCCUCCUAGAAAAAGAAGAUGCAGUCUCUCCCUCUUAAAGCACAUCUGCAGACAGGACCUUGUACUGUUUUUGUAUACAUCGUGAACAGUUUGGGAUGUGCACAUCUCUGGUAAUUCUUAGGUCUGGAUUCUGAGGCUUUCUUGGGGAGACUAGAAAAAGAAUAGAUGAGCAAAUAUUUUGGCAAAACCUUGUUUUCAGCCCUCCUGAGUUAUCUCUUUCAUAACCUGCUCCCUGGCAUUCAGGGUGGGAUUUGCCUGACAGUGGGAAGCUGGGUUCUAGUCUUGGGCUCUCUCAGGGAUGAUCCUAAGCCUUGGGAGAGAGCAGUGACCCCAGAUGCAGGAGGCCUUCUGGGGACAGGCAUCUAUGACAUAGCCAUUAGCGGUCUCAUCGGUGCUACCAAACCACUAAGCCACCCAGCGGCACUGCUCUGUAAACAAACCACUCACUAAAAGCAAACCUAUUCAUUUAACUAUCACUAGAAAGUGUCUAGAACAUUCGCACUCUUCCCCAUUUCUUCCUCUUCCCAUA